UGGGGAAUAUUGGACAAUGGGCGGAAGCCUGAUCCAGCCACGCCGCGUGUGUGAUGAAGGCCUUCGGGUUGUAAAGCACUGUCGAGGGGGAAGAAGUUCUGACUGUACCCCUCAAGAAAGCACCGGCUAACUCCGUGCCAGCAGCCGCGGUAAUACGGAGGGUGCAAGCGUUGCUCGGAAUCACUGGGCGUAAAGCGCACGCAGGCGGCUUUUCAAGUCGGAUGUGAAAGCCCCGGGCUCAACCCGGGAACUGCAUUCGAAACUGGGAGGCUUGAGUUCGAGAGAGGGUGGUGGAAUUCCUGGUGUAGAGGUGAAAUUCGUUGAUAUCAGGAGGAACAUCGGCGGCGAAGGCGGCCACCUGGCUCGAUACUGACGCUCAUGUGCGAAAGCGUGGGGAGCAAACAGGAUUAGAUACCCUGGUAGUCCACGCCGUAAACGAUGAUUGCUAGGUGUAGGAGGUAUUCACCCCUUCUGUGCCGAAGUUAACGCAUUAAGCAAUCCGCCUGGGGAGUACCGGUCGCAAGAUUA
rnacentral:rRNA from 1 species